rnacentral:rRNA from 1 species
CCUACGGGAGGCAGCAGUAGGGAAUAUUGCUCAAUGGGCGUAACCCUGAACCAGCAAAGUCGCGUGGGGGAUGAAGGUCUUCGGGGUGUUAACUCCUUUUUUUAGGGAAGUAAAUGACGCUACCUAUCGAGUAAUCCCCGGCUAAAUCCGUGACAGCAUCCGCGAUAAAACUGCGGGAGCCAGCGUUACUCGGAAUCACUGGGCGUAAAUCGGGCGUAGGCUGGAUAGCAAGUCAGAUGGGAAAUCCUAUGGGUUAAACAUAGAACUGCAGUUGAAACUGGUAUUCUAGAGUAUGGGAGAGGUAGGUGGAAUUCGUGGUGUAGGGGUGAAAUGCGUAGAGAUCAAGAGGAAUACUGAUUGCGAAGGCGACCUGCUGGAACAUAACUGACGCUGAUGCGCGAAAGCGUGGGGAGCAAACAGGAUUAGAUACCCGUGUAGUC